rnacentral:misc_RNA from 1 species
UUUCCGUAGGUGAACCUGCGGAAGGAUCAUUAUUGAAUUACUUGAUGGGUUGUUGCUGGCUCCUUGGAGCAUGUGCACGCCUAUCUUGACCUCUACACAUCCACCUGUGAACUAUUUGUAGUCUUGGGGGCUGUAAAUGGCUGACUGUCAGGGAAUGUAAUUCCCGGAUGUUGAGGACUGCAGUGCGAAAGCACUGCUUUUCCUCUACUGGUCAUGAACCCAUGUCUAUGUAUUUAUUGAUACACCACAUAGUAUGUUGUAGAAUGCAUGAGAUGGGCGUUUGUUCCUAUAGAACUAUAUACAACUUUCAGCAACGGAUCUCUUGGCUCUC